GAUGAACGCUGGCGGCGUGCCUAAUACAUGCAAGUAGAACGCUGAAGGAGGAGCUUGCUCUUCUGGAUGAGUUGCGAACGGGUGAGUAACGCGUAGGUAACCUGCCUGGUAGCGGGGGAUAACUAUUGGAAACGAUAGCUAAUACCGCAUGACAACAGUUAUUGCAUGAUAACUGUUUAAAAGGGGCAACUGCUCCACUACCAGAUGGACCUGCGUUGUAUUAGCUAGUUGGUGAGGUAACGGCUCACCAAGGCGACGAUACAUAGCCGACCUGAGAGGGUGAUCGGCCGCGCUGGGACUGAGACACGGCCCAGACUCCUACGGGAGGCAGCAGUAGGGAAUCUUCGGCAAUGGACGGAAGUCUGACCGAGCAACGCCGCGUGAGUGAAGAAGGUUUUCGGAUCGUAAAGCUCUGUUGUAAGAGAAGAACGAGUGUGAGAGUGGAAAGUUCACACUGUGACGGUAUCUUACCAGAAAGGGACGGCUAACUACGUG
rnacentral:rRNA from 1 species